rnacentral:rRNA from 1 species
AGAGAGAGACAUGCGCGCAUAUCAAUAAGCGGAGGAAAAGAAACUAACUAGGAUUCCCUCAGUAACGGCGAGUGAAGCGGGAAGAGCUCAAAUUUGAAAUCUUCAAGGUUCUACCUUGACGAAUUGUAGUUUAAAGAAGUGUUUUCUGUUGGAGUUUUGGUAAAAGUUCUUUGGAAUAGGACAUCAUAGAGGGUGAGAAUCCCGUAUUUGACCAUUAUUUCCAGCUUUGUGAUACACUUUCAAAGAGUCGGAUUGUUUGGGAAUGCAGUCCAAAAUGGGUGGUAAAUUUCAUCUAAAGCUAAAUAUUGGCGAGAGACCGAUAGCGAACAAGUACCGUGAGGGAAAGAUGAAAAGAACUUUGAAAAGAGAGUUAAACAGUACGUGAAAUUGUCAAAAGGGAAGCGUUUGACACCAGUGUUGUUUUUCUCGAAAAUCAAUUAAAAAAGGCAGGAUUUUGUGUUGUAUUGACUUUAUCAGCUUUCUGCACUCUUUUCUUGUCUUUUUUAAUGCACUUUUCGUUUAACAAGUCAACAUCAAUUUCUUUUGUUGUAAAAGGGUCAUUGGAAGGUGGCUUUCUUUUCGGAGAAAGUGUUUAUAGCCUUUGGCCUCUGCAAUCGGAGAGAUUGAGGUCUACAGCGUAGAUCCUUCGGGGUUAGAUACAUUUGUGCUAAGUUAUAGCCUUUCAUAGACAACUUGUUGACUAUGAUCAGUCAUGUAGCUUACUCGCUUAUGCUAUUUUACCUACGCUUAGGAUGUUGAUGUGAUACUGCGAGC